rnacentral:lncRNA from 1 species
UGCGCAAAUGGCGCCAAAAUUACAUGGAAAUUUUCUUGGAAAAAUAUUUUUCGCAGAUAAAAUAUAUUUAUCAACUUAGGAAUUUUAAAUUUUUGCAUGAAAAUCCGAAGAUGUUUCAUGUGAAUAAAGUUCCGAGGUAAUUCGCAUUUUUCUUGUAGUGUCGUCCCAAGGGGACCUCCCCACCGAAAUAGCAUCCACCAUGAAAACGGCCCCUGCGUCUAGCAUAGGCGAAGAUGCCACUCUCAAAGCAACGGCCUUUUUCUUUUCAACGCUGGCGGCGGAGGAUUUCCCAAGCUCCAUCUUCCUCUUUCUCGACGUUGACUUCUUCCCAUUAGAGGACUCAUAUACAAGGUGGUAGAUAGACCGGGAAGAGAUCUCAUCCCAUACAGCCACAUCCCGAGGAGGGGGUUCCCUUAUUGACAAAGUUUGAGUAUGACCUCUGUGGACUCAGCCAAAGUAAAUUGCAUCCCUGCUGAUGCAACGGCCCGGCAAAAUGCCGGCAUUGGAGCUUUCUUUUUGGAAGCCCGUCGACCUGUAACAACAAAGAGGUUGUAUCAAUAAAUGAUGGCAAGCAACACAAGGCCGAAACAAAAGUAACACUUACUAGACGGAACCUUCGGUCUAAAGCAUUUGUAGAAAAUCGCCCAAUCUCGGAUUCCCACCAUGUGAGGUAACACACGAGCCAUCCAGUCCUCAAUGCCGACAAUGGGAAAGGGUGCACGCCUCUCAGGUAAAAAAAACAAAAAAAUCACAUAUGAAAAAAAAUCAAAAGGGAUGAAAGAAAAAAACAAGCAUAUGUCAUCAGCAUCUACGAUUAUGAUUCCACUGCUGAAGAAAUCCAACAUGGUCUGAGCGCGAAAACUUCCGGUUCGUCCUGUCAUCCAUUCUUAGGGGUGUGCAUUCGAUUUAUUGAUUCGAGUUUGACUCUUAUCGAUAACUACUUAUCGAUUUGAACAUAUGCUUAUCGUUGUCGGUUCAAUAAGGUUUCGAGUUUUCCAUUUUAAUUUAUCGAUUUUAAGGGCUUAUCGAUUCGGUUAUCGAUUACACCAAUAAGAAUAUUUUCGGGAUUCCACGGAAAGUAUAUCGCUACAAACUAACUAAUAAGGACAAAAAGAAACUAAAAUAAGAAAGGCAUCGUAUAUAACAUAAAUAUUGUGUCAACAAAUACAUGAAACGAAACUAAAGUAAGGGAUCAAACGUAUGCCACCAACACUCCAACAAUAUAACCAAAAAAAAAUACAUCAUCACGACUAAUUCUGUUUUUCAUUAAUUUGAACUUCAUUCUCCUGAUCUUUAAAUAUGAUCAUUUCUUAAAUAUGGUAGAGGAAAUAAUAGGAGAAGGGACUUAGGGUAAAGGAAAUGGUAUUAUAAACUAAGGGUAAAAAAAAUUUAAAAAAUAUUUAAAAAUUUUUUUAGAAAAAUUUUAAAAAAAUUGGUGUAUCUUAU